CUAAGUGUGGUCCGACUUCGUUGUGUCACCCUGUACAGGGACGUGCUCUUGUCCAGGCGGCGCGCCGAACACUGUGGCCGCAGCAGCACAAGUGGGACAAUUUUAACUGUCCGGUCGCUCUCUGUGUCGCCUUUUCCUUCCUACCGGCUUCCUUGCCACUCAGCGGAUCGUCCCAAUGCCUGCUACAUGGCUCCUGCUAAAGGCCCGUGCAAGGCAAAAAUCACGAGGUUCUACUUCAAUCCAAGAUCUCUGGAUUGCCUGAAAUUUAUCUACUAAGGAUGUGGGGGAAACGCCAAUAAUUUUGCCACAUAUCAAGGAUGCAUGAAAACGUGUAAAUGUCGUUCCUGCGCAAGGUAGACACAGAUCUCCGUUUUUAUAUGCCGUCAGCGCCUCCUCGACCCAUCACGUCGCUCAUCUACAGGCUUCGCCUCAACGUGCCAUACAGUGGACGGCAAGGUUUCGUCCCCCAACUGUGUGAUGUAGUUGAGGACGUGGAUCAUAUACUCCAAGACUGUCCGGGGUACAGUGCACACCGUUGUACCCUUGUGUCAUCGCUGGCCCUCCUGGAUAAUCGGCCAUACUCCACCGAAACGGUUCUUGGGUGCUGACCAAUCUGCUGGGCAAAUCACCUCAUACCUGCCAUGCGCACUCUCGUGCAAUUUGUCGUCUCGACAGACCUCUUUGACACUUUGUGACGCGCUUUUUUAGCAUUGAGAUUUCGCACGUGGACUCUCCCACACUGUUGCUUUUGGUUCCAAGUUUUGUGGUGAUGUUUUCAUCCAUUCCGUUUCAAAGUGUAUAGAUUUGUGUAGUUUCCCUUUCAUUUCUGAAUAACGCGUCCUGGAGUAGCCAGUCCGGAGUGGCUCGAGACUAACAUCUCAAUUUUUUCUUUACAAAUCAAUCAGUCAAAUUACAUUUACUAUUUCAGUUAUACAAGUGUUUAUUUUGUAUUUUUUUAUUUCAAUAUACCUCCAAAGGUCCCUUCAGGGACAUUACAUUAGGGAGUGCGCCUUAACCUGUAGGUCAAUAACAUUACACAAAUAUCUUAAGAUGCAAAAUUCAUGUGAUAUCCCGAUGAUAUGACAGUACUUAUUAGAGGAUUUUUAAUCAAGGUAAUGUCAUCUUAACUAAAGUAAAUUUGUGGGCCACGCAAAACUCCCUGAGAUUAAACCCAUCGAAAACAAAACCUGUUAUCUUUAGGGCAAAUAGUAAGACGGUUAAGAUAGUUUCGACUCUGAAGUUGUGAGCUUCUGUUAUUGAAAUCGUUGAUAACGUAAAGUUCCUGGGCGUGCACUUUAAGGAAACGUUAUCUUGGGACAAACAUGUCAAUCAUCUCUGUUCUAAGUUGGCAAGCGCAACAGGUAGGAUCCAUAGGUUCAAAAGCCUCUUGCCCUGCCAUGUCAAAAUAGCUGUAUACAACGCAUCGUUCUUAGGGCUUUUAAAUUAUUGUCACCUAGAGUGGGGCCCUACAACUGAAAUAACAUUCGGACCAUUGCAAAAAUUCAGAUUCAGAAAUUCAGAAGAGAUUUUUACGCGCCAUUGCCAAUAUACAAAGCCACGAGACGACCACCUGAAUUUUUCAACAAUACCAGAUAAUAUACGGGCUAGUGACUUCUUUAAAUAGGACUGCUUGUGUGGACUGUCUUAAAUAACAACGAUCAUUUCCUAUCUCUUGCCGAUCUCAAGCUGAAACAAAGUUGCUGUCAUACGAGGAGAAAUGUCACAUGGGAAUACCCAAGAGCCCGAACAGCUUAUGGCGAACAGAGUUUGUCCCGUCAACUCCCACGAGUAUUAAACACAUUUGGCUUCUUCACUAAUGUCAAGGUGCCAUCAAACAAGCAGUUAAAAUGAUUGUUUUGGUAAUAGCGCGGGAGUAUGCGUAUUGUUAUGCGUUUUCUUUUGUUUUGUCAUUGUUUUGUUGUUAAUGUUGCUACUUAGUAUUGCUUUGCAGCGUGCCAUUCAAUUGAUUGUCGCUGCACUGUAGGGGUCUGGGGCCUCUGCCAAGCUAGAUGGGUAGCUUUUUGCUCCGGCUCCAUCACAUUGUGGAAACAAUAAGUAAAUAAAAGCGUACUACAACAAUAAUGGGUUACACAAUAUAUAUAUGUAUGCCGUACGUGUAUGUAUAUAGGUACACACAGAGUAUAUGUACAUAACUUUUAGUACAAAGAAAUAGAAAAAGAAAAUACAAAGCCAUGAUAAUGUGAGAUAAUAAUGUAACAUAUACAACGAAAUUUACGCAUGAUGAAUCAGCAAUGUGGUACAUCAUCAUUGAAAAUGGAUCAUGUGAUAUAAUUUAAUGGCAUGUAAGAGGUCCUGGACACAAGGAAAACACAUAGGAAGGUAACCGGAUGAUAACUACGAGAACAAAUCAGAGAUGGCAGAUGGUUUGUGUUACUGUAGCGAUGUUGCUCGGAAGGUCAUUCCGUUCUAGGACGGUACGGCAAAAAAAUGAUUAAGACGGCACUGUCCUACGGACGACAGGUUAAGUUCGCGUUUCAAAGCAGUGACUGAUGUAUUAGUAGAAAAAUUAUUACAGACGAAUCGCGAUGUUCUGUUUUGAAUGGAUUCGAUAUUACUUGUAAAAUACCUCUAGUGAGGAUCCCAUAUUGAUGAUGCAUAUUCUAGUUUAGGACUAACUAACGUUAGGUACGUGAGUCGUUUUAAGUUAGGUGUGGCCGAUUUAAGAUUGCGUCGGAUGAAGGCUAGGGUGUGAUUAGCAUGUGAGAUUAUUUUAUCAAUAUGGUUACUCCAUGUUAAAUCCGCUGAAAGAUGUACGCCGAGGUACUUGUAAGUACUAGAGGGCGUUAUAAGCGUGUUGUUAAGGGCAUACUGGAAGUGAUACGAGGUUUUACGGCGAUGGAAAUCUACAGGUCAGCAUUUACAUAGGUUUAGUGGCAUCUGCCAAGUGUCUCACCAGGAUUGGAUUGAGGAUAAGGCAUUCUGGUAGUGUUAUUUCAUCGUGACAGGAGCAAUUUUUACGAUAUAGCACGCAGUCAUCGGCGAAGAGACGGACUUGAGAGCAUAUGAAGAUCAUUGAUGUAUACGGAAAACACAAGGGGGCCUAGUGCAGAUCAUUGGGGUAUGCUGGAUUUUGAUAAAGUACAAUUGUCCUAUUCCAAACUCUGCAGUUUUCGUUUGUUGUCGUGGUUGAUGAAUUGAUAAUGCGUCAUAUGGUACUUCCUUAUUAUGGGUCGCUUGAAUCCAGCGUUGAUUAAUGCAACCCACACGAUGUCGCCGUAUUUGUAUCGCUUCAGUAACUUGCAUUUAGUUGGCAUCAACUUGCACAAUUCCUUAUUCAUGUUUGCUUUCUUUAAGUGAAGAUUCUUGAAUGGAGACACAAGACACAACAGACAGGGGACACAAGAGAGUAUUAGAUGAAAAUCGUCCGGUGGUCCACCACAGUUGGUAUGGUCGUUGAGUUUCAAUAAAUGAUGCUAAAUCAGACCUCGUGCAACGAUAUUGAACUUCUGCUGAUUCGAUAUAAUUGCAAGAAAGGGUAGAAGAAAAUAAUUGCGUAACCGUGCCAGUGGAACAUAUAACGUGAUAAGAUUUUUUAUGAACUCUUCCUGUUAAUAGUUACAUGUAAUUUCAACAAAUCCAUAAUGAAUCGUGCGAUAUAGACCACUUGUAUGUAUAUGAUAAUUUGAUCUCACUGCUUUCUUGGUGAAUGCAGUGCCCUUUGCAAUGGUUGCGAUUACCUCUGGUGUCGAGUACUUCAAUUCUUCGUUAGCCGACCUCAAAAACUCCACCAUCAAUCCCAGUGGUCCUUCAGAAGCUGAUGUGCAAACAUUUUUAUAACCAUUGUAGUUCCGGUAUACAAAUUGUUGCACCUUCAGUUCUGUUCUGUUCCUUCUGUUCUGUUCCUACAAUAUCUCCGAAUACGACCAUGUCUAUGACGUAUCGAAAUGCAGUCAUAAUAGAAUCAUUUCGAGCCUCUUCGAAUCAGUUUUUUAUCACCCCCUCCCAGGACUUAUGGUAAAGAGUGCAAAAUCUCUCUAGAUCUAGAUCUCGAUGUAGAGCAUUUCUUUUGUAUUGUUUCUAGUGUGCGUCUACACUUAAUUCAAAUCAUAUCUAUGCUUUAUUGUUAAAAAAUUUGUUAUGCAUCAGGUUUAGAAUAUUAUUAAUAUACCGCAACUGUCUCGAUGGGAAUUAUGGGAAUUAUGUAAGGUGUGCUUUCAAUGAUUCCAAGUAACAGAACGCACGAGAAUCCUCCCAUCCCUACGGACGUAACUGUGCCGGGGGGGGGGGGGGGAGUUUAUGGUCGGUGACUUCCAUCUCUCACUUUAUUGUUCUAAUCCACUAGUUAAUCCUGUUUCUUCAUUGCAAAACACAAGUUUCUGUACUGAUUCUGUAGUGUACUAACGCUGCUUAGAAAUGAUUUGCCUGAAUUAAUUAUUAUUUUGUCUUUGUUUCAGGUGUUCACUCGAUUGAUAUCAAUAAAAAAUAUUCUGUGAGUUGGGAAUUAUGUACGCAGGAUGUAUGAGUUGUCUCUGUUGAUUUCCUCUGUAGGAAACUUUUAAAUGUUUCUCAUUUGCUUAGACAAUGGUUGCCUGAAAUAAAUGUUGCCUUGUA